GAUAUAAAAAUAGAAAUUCAAACGUAAAUCACAGCAACAACAAUCCCAAAGAAUACACACAGUACACAGGCCACCUGAAGAAGAAGUGCCCCAGGCUGAAAUGAGUGGAUACUGAACCCUGAACCAUAGGUUUUAUAAUCAUUGCUGUAUGAUGUUUUUAUAGCUGCUUAAAAAUAUUUUCUGACAACAGGAAAGACUCAUCAUAAAUGUAUUUAAUUUUAAUAUAAACUUUAACUGGUUCUAAUCUUGGCCAAAUGUUUUUAUCUUUGUGAAAUCUCCCUAUUUGUGUGGCGGUUAUCACACCUGCCUUACAUGCAGAAGGUUUGAAGAUCCUGGUUCUCAGACCAGACUAAACCUUUAAAGAUUUCUUCAGUUGUUAUCUGAAGAAAUGUGUCCUUUGAUAAAGACUCUAACGUUCCAUGAUGAAGAACUGAGACGUCUUCACCGAGGCAGGGGUGGAGGAACCUGCUUCUUAUCACGUUUGAAGUGGGAACACGCUCCCCUGUUACAGCUGAAGUAUUGUUCUUCAUGUGAUUAAUAUAGAUUUAGCCGUGUAACUGACGUCAGCUCUACUGGAGAGGCCACCAGCCAAUCACAGCCUCCGUAUGAACUGAGUGAACUGUUCCAAUCAGGAGUCACAGGAACAGCUGUUCAGCCUCUGCUCACCUUCACAGGUGUUUGGAGUUUCUGUGAUUGGCCGUGUUGGCUCUUCUGUGACUAUCAGAAGUGAGAACUUCUAAAUGAACACCAGGAGUCUGUAGACCUCUCCAGGGUUCCAGGCUUUAGCAAACGUCUGUGCAGAAACCAUACCGGCUGCACAGUGUGGAUUCUACCCUACACCUUUGGUGUCGAUUCUUCAGUAAAUUAAGAUUUUUUUUUUCACAUUUCUGGAGUACAAGGAAAAGAACAGAUCUUUACCUUCACCCCUCAGUCAACCCAAACCCUGGACAACGUGUUAUUUGGACCAACAAAGACGACAGGACAGCUCAGAGACCUGCUGCAAAUGUGGAUUUUUCAAGUGCCGAUUUCUAAGAAGAACAACAUGUGUCAGAGUGUCCUGAGUUGUGGCCCCGCAGCAGCAUGAACAGGCUGUUUGAAGUGAAGGAGAUGACAUACUGCAGCUUUAGCUGCUGACUUUGUAAAUCUCUGACCUGCUGUAUUUGUUGAUGAUCCAGUCCAGGAGGGCAU